AUACGGAGGAUCCGAGCGUUAUCCGGAUUUAUUGGGUUUAAAGGGUGCGCAGGCGGCCAUUUAAGUCAGCGGUUAAAUCGUGGGGCUCAACCCCAUUCUGCCGUUGAUACUGGGUGGCUUGAUUGCGGUCGAGGUUGGCGGAAUUCGUUGUGUAGCGGUGAAAUGCAUAGAUAUGACGAAGAACACCGAUUGUGUAGGCACCUGACCAGACCGCAAAUCACGCUCAUGCACGAAAGUGCAGGGAUCGAACAGUAUUAUACACCCUGGUAGUCCGCACAGUAAACGAUGCAUACUGGUGUUCGGCGAUAUAAUGUCGGAGGCACAGCGAAAGCAAUAAGUAUUCCGCCUGGGGCGUACGCCCGCAACGGUGAAACUCAAAUGAAUUGACGGGG
rnacentral:rRNA from 1 species